rnacentral:tRNA from 1 species
GUUAUCUUAGCAGAUCAGUGCAAUAAAUUUAGAAUUUAAAUUAGAUUAUACAUGUUAUAAUAGAUAAUA